GUCGAUAUUUUUGUUCUAUAUCAAUAUAUUGAUUUUUUCAUAUCGCAUCAGCCUAGUAAAACCCAAAAUAGUUUCAAUUUAUCUUGCCUUGCUAGUGGGGCAGCACAUUGUCAUGCAUACUCAUAUGAUAUUCAAGUUUAGUGGCAAUUUCAAACUCGGCAUCACAGACACAACAGAUAUAACCAAUACCAGUUGCUUCUCUUGCUUCUAAUUCCUUACAGACAUCACAUUGGUAGGACGUACCAUGGUCUCCGGCCUUGUGUUGAUAUAAACUUUCAAUAUCAGGGUACUAGUUUUGUUGCAUUUGUCACAGACAAAAUAAUCAUCACUCUUCUGUAUCUCAUUAGCAUGUCCUUGACCUUGCGACUGAACAAUUUCCCUGCCACAACUGUUGCAGAAUAAUAAGCCAUCUCUUGAAUGUACUCUCUAGUGACGUUUGAGACUUUUACGUUGUCUGAAUAUUUUCUUACAUGUAGCGCACUCAAAACACUGCUUUACCUUGUGUGCUGAUAUUUUAUGUCGUGUUAAACUGUGUGAUUCUGAAAAUUUUGUGUUCCAAAUGUGAUAUUCAUAAGGUCUGUCUCUAGUAUGCGUUCUUUUGUGUUUAGCAAAACUACUUUGAUGCAAAAAUCUUUUUUUGGAAACAUCCCAUUCAUAAGGUUUUUCUCCAGUAUGUGUUCUUUCAUGGCUAGCUAACCCGUCUGACCGCGAAAAUCUUUUAUGGCAAACAUCACAUUCAUAAGGUUUCUCUCCAGUGUGUGUUCUUUUAUGGGUAUAAACUAAGGUGCUUGACCGUGAAAAUUGUUUGUUGCAAACAUCACAUUCAUAAGGUUUCUCUCCAGUGUGUGUUCUCUUAUGAACGGUUAAAUUGCCCGACUGUGAAAAUCUUUUAUUGCAAACAUCACAUUCGUAAGGUUUGUCUUCACUGUGUGUUCGUUUGUGUGCCACCAAAUUUCCUUUCUUAGAAAAUAACUUGUUACAAACCUCGUAUUUCCUAGACAUGGUUUCAGCUUUUGAUCUUUUCCCCGUACCGUCAAAUAUCGAUAUAAAUAUCACCCAACCGUUCUCUCGAGUCUGCUUUUACCAAAUCUUUAUAAUACUUCGGUUUUUACAGAAUUUCUGAUCAUAAAAAUGAGAAUAUUCACAGACACAGUUUGCAAGCAACACGAGUAUCAA